rnacentral:rRNA from 1 species
CGGACUGACUGGCAUUUGGGUAACGAGACAGAAUUGUAACUUACUAGAAUAAAGUUUUGAGUACGUAUUAAUAAUGAUAAUAUGUAUGAUAGUCUUGACCAAUUACGUGCCAGCAGUCGCGGUAAUACGUAGGAGACGAGCAUUAUUCAUACUAAAUAGGUUUACAGGGUACCCAAACGGUCCAAGUACCUGAAAUAUAGGAGAACUUUACCCUAGUUCAAUGUAAGUAGACCGGUACUUGAGGUGGAGAGACUAUAUAUUAUGAUACCAAACGGACUGAUAACGGCGAAGGCUGUCGUUUAUGUAAUAACUGACGUUGAAGGACGAAGGCAUAGAUCACUAACAGGAUUCGUUACCCUAGUAGUCUUUGCAGACAAUGAUGAAUGCCAUUCACUAGAUACUAAUUUUAGUUAUAUUAAUGAAAAUGAAAGCAUUUCACCUCAAGAGUAAUGCCGCAAGGCAGAAACUGAAAUCACUAGACCGUUUCUGACACACGUAGUGAAGUAUGUUAUGUAAUUCAUUGAUCUGCA